GCAUCUGUAUACUAUACUGUAUCGCUACGUAUCGUGGAAAUACUAUUAAAUAGGCUCUCCGAAGGCAUUGGUCGGUGGUUCGAAUCCACUCAGGUGCGCCA
rnacentral:tRNA from 1 species